rnacentral:rRNA from 5 species
GAAUGCUGACAUAAGUAACGAUAAAGCGGGUGAAAAGCCCGCUCGCCGGAAGACCAAGGGUUCCUGUCCAACGUUAAUCGGGGCAGGGUGAGUCGACCCCUAAGGCGAGGCCGAAAGGCGUAGUCGAUGGGAAACGGGUUAAUAUUCCCGUACUUGGUGUUACUGCGAAGGGGGGACGGAGAAGGCUAUGUUGGCCGGGCGACGGUUGUCCCGGUUUAAGCGUGUAGGUGUGUGUUCCAGGUAAAUCCGGUUCACUUUAACACUGAGGCGUGACGACGAGGCACUACGGUGCUGAAGCAACAAAUGCCCUGCUUCCAGGAAAAGCCUCUAAGCAUCAGGUAACAC